rnacentral:rRNA from 1 species
AACGCUGGCGGCGUGCCUAAUACAUGCAAGUAGAACGCUGAAGGAGGAGCUUGCUUCUCUGGAUGAGUUGCGAACGGGUGAGUAACGCGUAGGUAACCUGCCUGGUAGCGGGGGAUAACUAUUGGAAACGAUAGCUAAUACCGCAUAACAGUAGAUGUUGCAUGACAUUUGCUUAAAAGGUGCAAUUGCAUCACUACCAGAUGGACCUGCGUUGUAUUAGCUAGUUGGUGAGGUAACGGCUCACCAAGGCGACGAUACAUAGCCGACCUGAGAGGGUGAUCGGCCACACUGGGACUGAGACACGGCCCAGACUCCUACGGGAGGCAGCAGUAGGGAAUCCUCGGCAAUGGACGGAAGUCUGACCGAGCAACGCCGCGUGAGUGAAGAAGGUUUUCGGAUCGUAAAGCUCUGUUGUAAGAGAAGAACGAGUGUGAGAG